AACGAUGCAUAUGGCAUUCACUACCAAUGAAUGAACAUAUAAACCCACCUGUGUAUAAACCCCUGUUGCUUCCGCGGGGCGGUGAUCGCCGCCGAAGGAUGGCUUGGGCCGUCCGGAGGAGAGUCCCUGCGGGAGGUAUAACAUAAAACUACUUGCAUCUUCAUGCUCUUAGUCUGUACAUAAUCCAUAAACGUU
rnacentral:misc_RNA from 1 species